rnacentral:rRNA from 1 species
AGCUCCAAUAGCGUAUAUUAAAGUUGUUGCAGUUAAAAAGCUCGUAGUUGGAUUAUUGGUGAAUAUAGUAAGUACGGCACACUGUGCUGAUAUUUUUACUAUUUUUUACCAUUCUUGAAAAGAUUUUUUCUGGCAUUAAGUUGUCGGAUAAAGAAUUUUCAUCUUUUACUGUGAAAAAAUUAGAGUGUUCAAAGCAAGCUUAUGCUGUUGAAUAUAUUAGCAUGGAAUAAUAAGAUACGACCAUAGUACUACUUUGUUGGUUUAUGUACUAAGGUAAUGAUCAAUAGGGACAGUCGGGGGUAUUUGUAUUGCAUUGUCAGAGGUGAAAUUCUUGGAUCUCUGCAAGACAAACUACUGCGAAAGCAUUUACCAUGGAUGUUUUCA